rnacentral:lncRNA from 1 species
GAAACCAUGUUACAGCUUCUUUGGAAAGCGGCAGCCAGGAACGCGAGGUCGUGCCUAUGCUUGCAUGACACGAUACACAGUACAUCACAAUACAUGUUUGUGCAUGUUAUUGUACUACGCUGUGCCAUGUGGUCCAAUGCUCUAGCAGCCAUGUUGGUUAUGCUUAUAUUUCCAGCCUAUAUCCAAAGCACCCCAUGUUCGACUCAGGGCUUCAAGUGCGUUCCGCCGACUAAGUGCCGGAACGCGGGAGCAAGGAGUGUCAGCGGAUGCCCUAAAGAUCAAGUCUGCUGUGAUAUUGGACCAAGACCUUGCAACAUUCUAGGAGGAACAUGCCUUCUUACAUGCCCAGCGGGCACUGUACAUAAACCCAGCUAUAGCUGCGAGAGCAAGAUGAAGUGCUGUUCGACUAGGCGAUAGCAAGCUGGACUCUCUAUUCAAGAACAUUUGUGCCAUCAACAUUCGGAAGCAACACAAAUAAACAUUACUAUCCUUUCUUGGUGCUUUCAUUCUGGCUAAUCUGCAAAUGACGCAG